rfam:Tupaia chinensis contig184029, whole genome shotgun sequence.
GUGCUCGUUUCGGCAGCACAUAUACUAAAAAAUUGGAACAAUACAGGGAAGAUUAAUAUGGUCCCUGCGCAAGGGUGACAUGCAAAUUCAUGAAGCGUUCCAUAUUUUU